AGUAACGCGUGAGUAACCUGCCUUACACAAGGGGAUAGCCGUUGGAAACGACGAAUAAUACCCUAUGAAACUAUCACUUCGCAUGAAGCGAUAGUCAAAGUGUUAGCGGUGCAAGAUGGACUUGCGUCUGAUUAGCUAGUUGGUGAGAAAAAAGCCCACCAAGGCAACGAUCAGUAGCCGGCUUGAGAGAGUGUACGGCCACAUUGGGACUGAGACACGGCCCAG
rnacentral:rRNA from 1 species